UGUUCAUUCUCUAGUUGACUAUUAACAUACUUACAUACAGUGUUAGAGCAUAUAUAGUUUUUUCAUUCCGGAAGUAAUCAGGACAUUGCCAAUUUGGCAAACAAGGUUUCAAAAUUUAAGCACCUAGCCCAAGGGAGCGAUGGUACCAGUCAUAGUGAUAACAGCAGUAAGCGGAGUUCCUAGCUUCUAGCGAACUCUCGAGGCCUUGGCUACUAACAUCAGUGAAUUUUUGUUUGAUCAGGAAAAUUGAUUCAUUAUUGAGUAAUGGUACAACCGCAGGGAUCUAUUCGAAUGGAACGCCAAGAAAAAGGACGAUAACGCCAAGAUUUUGGUGUAGCGUCACGAGCGUUUGCGAAUCUAGCAGUGAAUCGACUUGGCCCAUUCGAGUUAACAGCAAGUUGGACCACCGCAGAUAGAACUCGAUGUGCUGGCUGGUACCCACGUUCUUCGCGACAAACUGCAACGUCCGAAGGGCGAACUCGUCCGGCAGUGAGCCAAUAACAAGCUGGACUAUACUUACUGUCCCUGUAAGGCACACUUUCCAGCACCUCCUGUAAGAGCGAGGUUUCGUUCAGCUUCAGGGCCAUCAGCAGAGCUCCGCCAUA